rnacentral:rRNA from 1 species
UACAGGAGGUCUCAAGCGUUUGUUCGGAUUCAUUGGGCGUAAAGGGUGCGUAGGCGGCGCGGUAAGUCGGGGUGUGAAAUCUCGGAGCUUAACUCCGAAACUGCAUUCGAUACUGCCGUGCUUGAGGACUGGAGAGGAUGGCGGAAUUCCCCAAGUAGAGGUGAAAUUCGUAGAUAUGGGGAGGAACACCGGUGGCCGAAGGCGGCCAUCUGGACGGCUAUUGGACGCUGAGA